rnacentral:rRNA from 1 species
GAUGAACGCUGGCGGCGUGCCUAAUACAUGCAAGUCGAGCGAACGGACGAUAAGCUUGCUUUUCUGAUGUUAGCGGCGGACGGGCGAGUAACACGUGGAUAACCUUCUUCUAAGACGGGGAUAACUUCGUGAAACCGUAGCUAAUACCGGCUAAUAUUUCGAACCGCAUGGUUCAAAAGUGAAAGACGGUCUUGCCGUCACUUAUAGAUGGAGCCGCGCUGCAUUAGCUAGUUGGUAAGGUAACGGCUUACCAAGGCAACGAUGCAUAGCCGACCUGAGAGGGAGAUCGGCCACACUGGAACUGAGGACCGGUCCCGACUCCUAACGGAAGCAGCAGUAGGGGAACAUCCGCAAAUGGCGGAAGCCCGACGGAAGAACGCCGCGGGAGUGGUGGAGGUCUUCGGGUCGUAAAACUCUGUUAUUAGGGAAAAACAUGUGUCUGAGUAACUGCGCACAUCUUUAACGUACCUAAAAAGAGAGGCACGGCUAACUACCUG